UACGUAGGGGGCUAGCGUUGUCCGGAAUCAUUGGGCGUAAAGCGCGUGUAGGCGGCCCGAUAAGUCCGCUGUGAAAGUCCAGGGCUCAACCCUGGGAUGCCGGUGGAUACUGUCGGGCUCGAGUCCGGAAGAGGCGAGUGGAAUUCCUGGUGUAGCGGUGAAAUGCGUAGAUAUCGAGAGGAACACCUGCGGCGAAGGCGGGUUGCUGGGCUGACACUGACGCUGAUGCGCGAAAGCCAGGGAGCGAACGGG
rnacentral:rRNA from 1 species